GUUGAGGCCUGUGAUCCCGGAGGGGCUGAGGCGGGCCUAGACUCUGCUGCUGAUUUGAAGUUGGGAUAUUUUCCCUGCCAACUUUUGACCCCAAUGUCUGCAUCAUUCUGCCCCAAUGAUGAGGGUGAGGAUCAGUAUGAAAACACUGAUGAAGAGGAAGAGGAUGGAAAUGAAAAACCUGAAGGACUCUAAAUGGAUGUGGUCUCAGCAAAGAGCAGCUCUGGAUAAUACAGUGGGAAGGCAUAGAAAAAGCAGACAGCAAAAGAAAAGAUGAAUCUGUUCUUCAUGGAUAUUCUUGUUUUCAUUAGCCUGAAAUACUAAUUUUGUUUCAAAGUUUCAAUGCCCCAAAGUGAUACUAACUACUGACAUCUGACUUUACUCUUACCUUUUACAGAUAAUUUGAUAGUAUUGUUCACAUUGGAAAUAAAAGCUUGUUUGAAAGUAAUAA
ensembl:lncRNA